UAUGUUUUUAUACAACUUGUUAUAUAUUUUGUUUUGUUUCCUAAUUCAUAUCACUAUUAGUGGUUCACGAACUAGAAUUGAAAUUUCAUUACGCAGACUCGUUAGUUUAUAGCUGAAUUCAAAUUCGAGCCAGGACAUUAUAGUCCAUGUUUGGUAUGAUAUUUAAGUCAGAGUCGGUAACAAUUUUUGACGAGUCAAAUUCAAGCU
rnacentral:lncRNA from 1 species